GGUCCUUUAGUUUAAUGGAUAGAAUUCGAGAUUCCGGUUCUCGAGGUACAGGUUCGAUUCCUGUAGGGACCA
rnacentral:tRNA from 2 species